rnacentral:rRNA from 1 species
CCUACGGGGGGCUGCAGUGGGGAAUAUUGCACAAUGGAGGGAACUCUGAUGCAGCGACGCCGCGUGAGUGAAGAAGGUUUUCGGAUCGUAAAACUCUGUCCUUGGUGAAGAUAAUGACGGUAGCCAAGGAGGAAGCCCCGGCUAACUACGUGCCAGCAGCCGCGGUAAUACGUAGGGGGCGAGCGUUGUCCGGAUUUACUGGGCGUAAAGGGUGAGUAGGCGGUAAUAUGUGUCAGAUGUAAAAGGCUAUGGCUUAACUAUAGUUAGCAUUUGAAACUGUAUUACUUGAGUGCAGGAGAGGUAAGCGGAAUUCCUAGUGUAGCGGUGAAAUGCGUAGAUAUUAGGAGGAACACCAGUGGCGAAGGCGGCUUACUGGACUGUAACUGACGCUGAGUCACGAAAGCGUGGGUAGCAAACAGGAUUAGAUACCCCUGUAGUC